rnacentral:rRNA from 1 species
UAGUACGGCGAGUGAGAGGAAGAGCUCAAAGUUGGAACCUGUUUGGCCUAGCUAAACCGGAUUGUAUACUGUAGAAGUGUUUUCCAGGCAAGCCGAGUAAAUAAGUCCUUUGGAACAGGGCAUCAUAGAGGGUGAGAAUCCCGUCUUUGGCUUGAGCAUUUGCCUUUUGUGAUACGCUUUCAAAGAGUCAGGUUGUUUGGGAAUGCAGCCUAAAUUGGGUGGUAAAUCUCACCUAAAGCUAAAUAUUGGCGAGAAACCGAUAGCGAACAAGUACCGUGAGGGAAAGAUGAAAAGAACUUUGAAAAGAGAGUUAAACAGUAUGUGAAAUUGUUAAAAGGGAACCGUUUGGAGCCAGACUGGCUUGUCUGUAAUCAAUCUAGGCUUCGGCCUGGAUGCACUUGCAGGCUAUGCCUGCCAACGACAAUUUGACUUGAGGGAAAAAACUAAGGGAAAUGUGGCCCACUUGUGGGUGUUAUAGUCCCUUAGAAAAUACCUUGGGUUGGAUUGAGGAACGCAGCGAAUGCUUUUUGGCGAGUUUUCCAGGAAGGUUUUCUGAGGUAAUACGGUAUCAAGGUUGAUCUUUUUGGUUAUACUUCUAUUCGCUUAGGUUGUUGGCUUAAUGACUCUAAAUGACCCGUCUUG